rnacentral:rRNA from 1 species
UACCAGCUCUCCGAGUGGUAGGGAUGAUUAUUGGGCUUAAAGCGUCCGUAGCCGGCUUAGCAAGUCUCCUGUUAAAUUCAGCGACCUAAUCGUUGAGCCGCGGGAGACACUACUAGGCUAGGAGGCGGGAGAGGCCGACGGUAUUCUCGGGGUAGGGGUGAAAUCCUAUAAUCCCGGGAGGACCACCAGUGGCGAAGGCUGUCGGCUAGAACGCGCUCGGCGGUGAGGGACGAAAGCUGGGGGAGCGAACCGGAUUAGAUACCCGGGUAGUCCCAGCUGUAAACGAUGCGGGCUAGGUGUUGGGGUGGCUACGAGCCACUUCAGUGCCGCAGGGAAGCCAUUAAGCCCGCCGCCUGGGGAGUACGGCCGCAAGGCUGAAACUUAAAGGAAUUGGCGGGGGAACACCACAAGGCGUGAAGCUUGCGGUUC